rnacentral:snRNA from 1 species
UUCACUGUUCUCGGCUCGUUAGAGCUCAGAUCAAAGUGUAGUCCCUGUUCUUAUUAGUUUAAUAUCUGAUAUGUUCUUUAUUUGAGAACUGUAUAUUAAAUUGAUUUAUUCACUGCGAGUAGUCCCUCUGACUUUCAGGGUGGGGGGCCUCAGAUUAAUGGGAGUGCCAAAUGUUCCCCUCAGGCCAU